rnacentral:rRNA from 1 species
CAAGUGAAAGUGAAAUCUCAUGGCUCAACCAUGAAGCUGCUUUCAAACUGCUAAGCUUGAGUAUGUGAGAGGUAACUGGAAUUCCAAGUGUAGGAGUGAAAUCCGUAGAUAUUUGGAGGAACACCAAUGGCGUAGGCAGGUUACUGGCACAUUACUGACGCUGAGGCACGAAAGCGUGGGAGCGAACCGGAUUAGAUACCCGGGUAGUCCACGCCGUAAACGAUGGAUGCUA